GAUGAACGCUGGCGGCGUGCCUAAUACAUGCAAGUCGAGCGAACAGACGAGGAGCUUGCUCCUCUGACGUUAGCGGCGGACGGGUGAGUAACACGUGGAUAACCUACCUAUAAGACUGGGAUAACUUCGGGAAACCGGAGCUAAUACCGGAUAAUAUAUUGAACCGCAUGGUUCAAUAGUUAAAGACGGUUUUGCUGUCACUUAUAGAUGGAUCCGCGCCGCAUUAGCUAGUUGGUAAGGUAACGGCUUACCAAGGCAACGAUGCGUAGCCGACCUGAGAGCGUGAUCGGCCACACUGGAAGUGAGACACGGUCCAGACUCCUACGGGAGGCAGCAGUAGGGAAUCUUCCGCAAUGGGCGAAAGCCUGACGGAGCAACGCCGCGUGAGUGAUGAAGGUCUUCGGAUCGUAAAACUCUGUUAUUAGGGAAGAACAAAUGUGUAAGUAACUAUGCACGUCUUGACGGUACCUAAUCAGAAAGCCACGGCUAACUACGUG
rnacentral:rRNA from 1 species